rnacentral:ncRNA from 2 species
GUGCUCACUCUCUUCUGUCA